AGUGAACGCUGGCGGUAGGCCUAACACAUGCAAGUCGAACGGCAGCACAGUAAGAGCUUGCUCUUACGGGUGGCGAGUGGCGGACGGGUGAGGAAUACAUCGGAAUCUACUUUUUCGUGGGGGAUAACGUAGGGAAACUUACGCUAAUACCGCAUACGACCUACGGGUGAAAGCAGGGGAUCUUCGGACCUUGCGCGAAUGAAUGAGCCGAUGUCGGAUUAGCUAGUUGGCGGGGUAAAGGCCCACCAAGGCGACGAUCCGUAGCUGGUCUGAGAGGAUGAUCAGCCACACUGGAACUUGGACACGGUCCAGGCUCCUACGGGAGGCAGCAGUGUGGAAUAUUGGACAAUGGUCGCAAGCCUGGUCCAGCCAUACCGCGUGGGUGAAGAAGGCCUUCGGGUUGUAAAGCCCUUUUGUUGGGUAAGAAAAGCAGCAGGUUAAUACCCCGCUGUUCUGACGGUACCCAAAGAAUAAGCACCGGCUAACUUCGUG
rnacentral:rRNA from 1 species